rnacentral:rRNA from 1 species
CGGUAACUGGCGCAGGAUCAUCAGUAGGCGGAGGAGCGUAUCAUAUUUGCGAGAGAGAGGACGCAGGUGUGUGUUCCGCGGAGCAUCGCAAACUCCGGAUCAUGGAGGUGGCCGCCUGGAGGAAGAAGGUCGUCCGCGACCCUCGCUCUCCAGGCCCGUGCCUGUCGGGAGCCCCAACAUCAACUCUUGUAAACAUCGUGUUGUCUGAGUGUGGAAACACCUAAAAUAUUCAAAAUAAAGCAAAACUUUCAACAACGGAUCUCUUGGUUCUGGCAUCGAUGAAGAACGCAGCGAAAUGCGAUAAGUAAUGCGAAUUGCAGAAUCCGUGAGUCAUCGAAUCUUUGAACGCAUAUUGCGCCCUUUGGUAUUCCGAAGGGCAUGCCUGUUCGAGCGUCAUUAUCACCCCCUCAAGCCCUGGCUUGGUGUUGGACUCGGUGCGCGACUCUGCGCUCCCCACCGGUCCCAAAGUGAAUGACGGCGUCUGUGAGGACUCCAGUACACUGAGCUUCUUCGUGAGCACGUACUCGGAUCAGCCCUCCAGGCCCGGUCUACCCCGGGACCACCCUCGUCUUUUCGAGGGCGGUUCCCACGUUUUUCAAGGUUGACCUCGGAUCAGGUAGGAAUACCCGCUGAACUUAAGCAUAUCAAUAAGCGGAGGAACC